AACGAACGCUGGCGGCAUGCCUAACACAUGCAAGUCGAACGAGACCUUCGGGUCUAGUGGCGCACGGGUGCGUAACGCGUGGGAACCUGCCCUUAGGUUCGGAAUAACUCCCCGAAAGGGGUGCUAAUACCGGAUAAUGUCUUCGGACCAAAGAUUUAUCGACUUUGGAUGGGCCCGCGUUGGAUUAGCUAGUUGGUAGGGUAAAAGCCUACCAAGGCGACGAUCCAUAGCUGGUCUGAGAGGAUGAUCAGCCACACUGGGACUGAGACACGGCCCAGACUCCUACGGGAGGCAGCAGUGGGGAAUAUUGGACAAUGGGCGAAAGCCUGAUCCAGCAAUGCCGCGUGAGCGAUGAAGGCGUUAGGGUUGUAAAGCUCUUUUACCCGGGAUGAUAAUGACAGUACCGGGAGAAUAAGCGCCGGCUAACUCCGUG
rnacentral:rRNA from 1 species